rnacentral:tRNA from 1 species
CCCUGGUUAGCUCAGUUGGUAGAGCGCUCCACUGGAAAUGGAGAGGUCCCGGGUUUGAUACCCGGUCGAGGCU